GCCUGGCUGGCUCAGUUGGUGGAGUGUAUGACUCUAGAUCUCGGCGUCGUGAGUUCGAGCCCCACGUUGGGUA
rnacentral:tRNA from 1 species